GGACCAUCCUCCAAGGCUAAAUACUCCUGACUGACCGAUAGUGAACCAGUACCGUGAGGGAAAGGCGAAAAGAACCCCGGCGAGGGGAGUGAAAAAGAACCUGAAACCGUGUACGUACAAGCAGUGGGAGCCUCUUUUAUGGGGUGACUGCGUACCUUUUGUAUAAUGGGUCAGCGACUUAUAUUCUGUAGCAAGGUUAACCGAAUAGGGGAGCCGAAGGGAAACCGAGUCUUAACUGGGCGUUAAGUUGCAGGGUAUAGACCCGAAACCCGGUGAUCUAGCCAUGGGCAGGUUGAAGGUUGGGUAACACUAACUGGAGGACCGAACCGACUAAUGUUGAAAAAUUAGCGGAUGACUUGUGGCUGGGGGUGAAAGGCCAAUCAAACCGGGAGAUAGCUGGUUCUCCCCGAAAGCUAUUUAGGUAGCGCCUCGUGAACUCAUCUCCGGGGGUAGAGCACUGUUUCGGCAAGGGGGUCAUCCCGACUUACCAACCCGAUGCAAACUGCGAAUACCGGAGAAUGUUAUCACGGGAGACACACGGCGGGUGCUAACGUCCGUCGUGAAGAGGGAAACAACCCAGACCGCCAGCUAAGGUCCCAAAGUCAUGGUUAAGUGGGAAACGAUGUGGGAAGGCCCAGACAGCCAGGAUGUUGGCUUAGAAGCAGCCAUCAUUUAAAGAAAGCGUAAUAGCUCACUGGUCGAGUCGGCCUGCGCGGAAGAUGUAACGGGGCUAAACCAUGCACCGAAGCUGCGGCAGCGACGCUUAUGCGUUGUUGGGUAGGGGAGCGUUCUGUAAGCCUGUGAAGGUGUACUGUGAGGUAUGCUGGAGGUAUCAGAAGUGCGAAUGCUGACAUAAGUAACGAUAAAGCGGGUGAAAAGCCCGCUCGCCGGAAGACCAAGGGUUCCUGUCCAACGUUAAUCGGGGCAGGGUGAGUCGACCCCUAAGGCGAGGCCGAAAGGCGUAGUCGAUGGGAAACAGGUUAAUAUUCCUGUACUUGGUGUUACUGCGAAGGGGGGACGGAGAAGGCUAUGUUGGCCGGGCGACGGUUGUCCCGGUUUAAGCGUGUAGGCUGGUUUUCCAGGCAAAUCCGGAAAAUCAAGGCUGAGGCGUGAUGACGAGGCACUACGGUGCUGAAGCAACAAAUGCCCUGCUUCCAGGAAAAGCCUCUAAGCAUCAGGUAACAUCAAAUCGUACCCCAAACCGACACAGGUGGUCAGGUAGAGAAUACCAAGGCGCUUGAGAGAACUCGGGUGAAGGAACUAGGCAAAAUGGUGCCGUAACUUCGGGAGAAGG
rnacentral:rRNA from 1 species